CCUCCCCAGACCCCACCUGGUGGGAGUAUACUGGGUAGUUGUUGUUGUUGUUGUUGUUAUGUAUAUAUGGAUAUAUGUUAUGUAUAUAUUGUGUUGUAGUAAUUAGUAUAUAUUGUAUGUUAUGUAUAUAUGGAUAUAUGUGUAGAAUAUAAUGUGUUGUAGUAAUUAGUAUAUAUUGUAUAUUAUGUAUAUAUAUAUACUAAACAAUUAGAAAUAGUCGGAUAAUAUUGCCCAGAAAAAGUAUUUGUAGCAACUUGAAAAUGUUCUAAAAAAUCUAAAAGAAUUUUAACAUUAGUCCAAUCUUGGGUAGUUAGCAUUUCAUCAUCAUCCUCACCACCGAAAAUGUUCUAAAAAAUCUAAAAGAAUUUUAACAUUAGUCCAAUCUUGGGUUGUUAGCAUUUCAUCGUAAUCAUCACUACCUACCCGAGAACUAAACGUAGCAUUAAUUGAGUUUCUAUAUUCAUACGCUACUACUAAACUUUCGUACAUGCAAUUCCACCUAGUCGAGCAAGGUUUAGGAACAUUUCUUUCUCUAAGGCCAUAUUCGUCAAAUUUUUUAAGAUACUCUUUAAGUCUAGUUCUACGGUUUGAAUAAAAUAGCCAAUUAAGAGCCAUUCUCACCUUUUCAAUU
rnacentral:lncRNA from 1 species